UUUAAUUUUUUCGUCAGAGCUAUAAGCUUGACAUUUACUGUCAAAUUUUGAGAGCACAAAAAUUUCUGUUAUUUCAAUCCUCUUUCUAUUUAUUCUAAUAUCCAUUUGUCAUAUUAAAUUUUUCGUACGCUCCUGUUCAAAUAGGAAAGAAUCUCGCCGAGCCGUUCAAUACCAAACGAAGCUUCAGACAAGGGGACAGCCAUCGUGUGAUUUCUUUAAUGUCCUGCUCGAGAAGAUUAUAAGAGCAGCAGGUGUAAUAGGCACGGCACACUACUCACAAGAGAACAAUCGACGACAUCGAUGUAAUGAGUCGGUCACCGGAAGAAUCAAUUACAGCCUUUGAAAGUAUUGAAGUGGGUUUGGCCGUAAAUGGAGAUAAGACAAAGUGGGUGAUAUCAACUUCUACAAAGCCUUGUAAACCCGAGCAGUUAAAGAAAAAAGGAGAAAGUUGGGAACUGCAACUUUGAGAUAGCAAAUUUAUCUUCCUCGGCAUCACCGUAAGCGAAACAAAUGACACCAGAUUUUGAAUAAAACUAAUGAUAAUAUUGGCUAACAUAUGUCACUUUGAAUUAAGCAAACAGAUGAGGAGCAAAGCCACCUCUCGGCAGACGAAAAUUACAUUAUACUACUCGUCUUGUUAUAUAGCUCCGAAGCAUAAAAUUUUCAGUAAUGGUCAAUUACAAAAAAAAAAAACACGCAAUGUAUAACAACUUGCAGAAUCGCUAUUAUUGAAAUUACAAAUCACAUUGAUCGUGUAAUAGCAGUUUAAGGAAGCACAUUAAUUGUUUUAAAAGAUCCAUGUGUCAUACGUAGCUGGCCAUGCUGUAACAUCGACGUACUUGGGAAAACUGGCAAGGAACUUUUUGAAAUCGGCUGUUUGUACUUCUUUCUGAUGAUUCCAAUGACCACCUAUGCCGAUUUCCACAUUAGGUGUACUCCAGUUUCCAUCUUUUUUCUGCAAAGAAAUAUUGUGUUUUUAAUACCUUUAACUAACUAAUCAUAAUUUUUCAAAGUAUGUAUUAAGAAAAUCAUUUAAUUUCAGGUGUCCUUCAAAAACAAACUUCCUGUUUAAUCUUUCAAACUUAAAAAUUAUCUUUAAUUAAAUUAGUUUAUUCAAUGCAA